rnacentral:lncRNA from 1 species
CCAUGCCGACUAGGUUGGUCAAAUAUAAAAUAUGCUGAUCCAAACCAGAUUAGUCAUUACAUUAGAUGUAUGUGAUUAAUUAGUCUACUGGUCUUCCACCAUUGUAGAGAUGCGGGUGUCUUUUCCGAUGUUGAUCGUUCUCGAUUGGUUACAGUAGUUCGAUUGCAUCGACAAGACACAACCACUCUAUUGACAUUAGAUGCCC